rnacentral:lncRNA from 13 species
CACAUAGUUCUCCAGAUACGACAGAAACUUGGACAAUGUGCUUCUGAUCAUUCUGCUUAUAUUUCCUGGCUCUUCGCCAUUCAAAUCCUCCCUACACGCGGAAGCAUAAUCCAUCUCUGGUAUUGGCAGUGGCAAAACUCAGACUUUUGUUGAUGGCAUCUGGAUGCACUUGUCUUUGUUUUGAGUACAUCAGGUCAUGGGUGUUGGUGGUGAUGGAGCAAGGCUAAGGCAAGAAAGA